GAUGAACGCUGGCGGCGUGCCUAAUACAUGCAAGUCGAGCGAACAGACGAGGAGCUUGCUCCUCUGACGUUAGCGGCGGACGGGUGAGUAACACGUGGAUAACCUACCUAUAAGACUGGGAUAACUUCGGGAAACCGGAGCUAAUAACGGAUAAUAUAUUGAACCGCAUGGUUCAAUAGUGAAAGACGGUUUUGCUGUCACUUAUAGAUGGAUCCGCGCCGCAUUAGCUAGUUGGUAAGGUAACGGCUUACCAAGGCAACGAUGCGUAGCCGACCUGAGAGGGUGAUCGGCCACACUGGAACUGAGACACGGUCCAGACUCCUACGCGAGGCAGCAGUGGGGAAUCUUCCGCAAUGGGCGAAAGCCUGACGGAGCAACGCCGCGUGAGUGAUGAAGGGCUUCGGAUCGUAAAACUCUGUUAUUAGGGAAGAACAAAUGUGUAAGUAACUAUGCACGUCUUGACGGUACCUAAUCAGAAAGCCACGGCUAACUACGU
rnacentral:rRNA from 1 species